UUUUCAAUUUUCCUCGUGCUUUUUUAUCCCCAAAGUUUAUUGGCCGGCUUAGGAUGCAAAAUUAUGUUGCCCUGACAUUUUAAUAUGACUGAAAUAUCCUUGUUGUUAUAAUAUUUGAAUAUAAUUAACCCAACAAAAACACGACGUUCAUUCCUCUCUCGUUCAGCGUUCUUAAUUUUGACGGAAAUAAACAAACAAAUUAAAUUAAAAGAACAGUAACAAAGGAGAAACCAAAUCUCAAUCUUAUCCGGCGGUGUACUGCUCACCCGAUAAUAGCCGACGUAAGAAUGAGUUAUAUUAAUUAGAUCCCCGCCGACGUAACUGCUCUCUUAAGUCUUAUCACCUCCUCCGGUCACGCCGCCAGCCAGGCGAGGAUUGGACUCCAAAUGGACGUCGAACUCGUCGCCAUCGAGGUCCAAACUGACAGCGAAUCGGUUUCCGGCGAAAUCCAAACAAAUUGGUCGCCCGUUUGGCCU
rnacentral:lncRNA from 1 species